rnacentral:rRNA from 1 species
AUUGAACGCUGGCGGCAGGCCUAACACAUGCAAGUCGAGCGGAGCGGCGGUCGGGUGAGUAAUGCCUAGGAAUCUGCCUGGUAGUGGGGGAUAACGUCCGGAAACGGGCGCUAAUACCGCAUACUAUCAGAUGAGCCUAGGUCGGAUUAGCUAGUUGGUGGGGUAAAGGCCUACCAAGGCGACGAUCCGUAACUGGUCUGAGAGGAUGAUCAGUCAAACUGGAACUGGAAACGGGUCCAGAUUCCACCGGGAGGCAGACGUGGGGAAUUUUGGACAUUGGGCGAAAGCCUGAUCCAGCCAUGCCGGGGGUGUGAAGAAGGUCUUCGGAUUGUAAAGCACUUUAAGUUGGGAGGCGUUACCAACAGAAUAAGCACCGGCUAACUUCGUGCCAGCAGCCGCGGUAAUA